UCCGGUUGAUCCCGCCGGACCUGACUGCUAUCGGAUUGAUACUAAGCCAUGCGAGUCAUUGUAGUAAUGCAAGGCAAACGGCUCAGUAACGCGUAGUCAACCUAACCUAUGGACGGGAAUAACCUCGGGAAACUGAGAAUAAUGCCCGAUAGAACACUAUGCCUGGAAUGGUUUGUGUUCCAAAUGAUUUAUCGCCGUAGGAUGGGACUGCGGCCUAUCAGUUUGUUGGUGAGGUAAUGGCCCACCAAGACUAUUACAGGUACGGGCUCUGAGGGGAGUGGCCCGGAGAUGGGUACUGAGACACGGACCCAGGCCCUAUGGGGCGCAGCAGGCGAGAAAACUUUGCAAUGUGCGAAAGCACGACAAGGUUAAUCCGAGUGGUUUCUGCUAAAGGAACCUUUUGUCGGUCCUAGAAACACCGAUGAAUAAGGGGUGGGCAAGUUCUGGUGUCAGCCGCCGCGGUAAAACCAGCACCUCAAGUGGUCAGGAUGAUUAUUGGGCCUAAAGCAUC
rnacentral:rRNA from 1 species